rnacentral:rRNA from 1 species
UACGUAGGGUGCGAGCGUUGUCCGGAAUUACUGGGCGUAAAGAGCUCGUAGGUGGUUUGUCGCGUUGUUCGUGAAAACUCACAACUCAAUUGUGGGCGUGCGGGCGAUACGGGCAGACUGGAGUACUGCAGGGGAGACUGGAAUUCCUGGUGUAGCGGUGGAAUGCGCAGAUAUCAGGAGGAACACCGGUGGCGAAGGCGGGUCUCUGGGCAGUUCCUGACACUGAGGCACGAAGGCCAGGUGAGCAAACGGG